GACGAACGCUGGCGGCGUGCCUAAUACAUGCAAGUAGAACGCUGAGGACUGGUGCUUGCACUGGUCUAAGGAGUUGCGAACGGGUGAGUAACGCGUAGGUAACCUACCUCAUAGCGGGGGAUAACUAUUGGAAACGAUAGCUAAUACCGCAUGACAAUAGGGUACACAUGUACCCUAUUUAAAAGGGGCAAAUGCUUCACUAUGAGAUGGACCUGCGUUGUAUUAGCUAGUUGGUAAGGUAACGGCUUACCAAGGCGACGAUACAUAGCCGACCUGAGAGGGUGAUCGGCCACACUGGGACUGAGACACGGCCCAGACUCCUACGGGAGGCAGCAGUAGGGAAUUUUCGGCAAUGGGGGGAACCCUGACCGAGCAACGCCGCGUGAGUGAAGAAGGUUUUCGGAUCGUAAAGCUCUGUUGUUAGAGAAGAACGGUAAUGGGAGUGGAAAAUCCAUU
rnacentral:rRNA from 1 species